rnacentral:rRNA from 1 species
GACGAACGCUGGCGGUGUGCUUAACACAUGCAAGUCGAACGGUAAGGCCCUUUCGGGGGUACACGAGUGGCGAACGGGUGAGUAACACGUGAGUAACCUGCCCUCAUCUCUGGGAUAACAGUCGGAAACGGUUGCUAAUACUGGAUAUGAGCUUGCAAGGCAUCUUGUGGGUUGGAAAGAUUUUUUUUGGUUGGGGAUGGACUCGCGGCCUAUCAGCUUGUUGGUGAGGUAGUGGCUCACCAAGGCUUCGACGGGUAGCCGGCCUGAGAGGGCGACCGGCCACAUGGGGACUGAGAUACGGCCCAAACUCCUACGGGAGGCAGCAGUGGGGAAUAUUGCACAAUGGACGGAAGUCUGAUGCAGCAACGCCGCGUGCGGGAUGACGGCCUUCGGGUUGUAAACCGCUGUCAAUUGUGACGAAGCGUUUUUGUGACGGUAGCAGUAGAAGAAGCACCGGCUAACUACGUG